UAGCUGUGUGACCCUGGGCAAGUCACUUAAUCCCAAUUGCCUAAAAAUUAAAAAAAAAUAAUUAAAAACCAUUCAGGAACCGAAACUAUUUUUGCUCCUGAGGCUGUUCAGGCCUUUCCUCAGAACAGCCCAGAAGCCUGGGCACUGGCUGGACAGGCUUCUGCCAGUCAGGCCUGAGCUUUUUCCCUGGCCCAGGGAUUAGAUCCUGGAUAGUCCCUGAGGGAGAAGGACUGUAUUUCAGCUUUCGGUGGCUUUUGAAGAUGUGGCAGUGUACUUCACCCAGAAGGAGUGGGAAGCUCUCACACCUUUCCAGCAGGCAUCGUAC